rnacentral:RNase_P_RNA from 1 species
AGAAGCAAGCCGACUGUCGCGGUCCGUUACGGCGGAACGAGGAAAGUCCGGGCAGCAUAGAGUAACCGUGCUUCCUAACAGGAAGGAUUCAUCCGUCAGCUGGCGGAUGGGUACAGCUAGUGCAGCAGAAAAUAAACCGCCCUGACUUCGUAAGAAUGUCAGUGGUAAGGGUGAAAAGGGGAGGUAAGAGCUCACCGUUCCGGUGGUGACAUUCGGAAGCUAGGUAAACCUCACGGGCUGAAAGAUCAUGUAAACCAGGCGAGUAGGGCUGCUCGUUCUCUCCUCGGCUAAGCCGGGGUGCCUGGAGGGUAGAUCGAUAGAUCCCGGAAGUGAUUCCGGGGCUAGAUAAAUGACAGUCAGUUCCGGUGAUUAUUCACCGGGAUGUACAGAACCCGGCUUAUGGCUUGCUUUUAUUU